CAAGUGAGGCAGCCGGGUUCUACCUGUGCUUGCUCUCAAACCCAAUGUUAAUUUAACUCUUGUUGCUUCGGCGAGCCGUUGGGCUAGUCCCACCACUGGCUUCUGCUGGUGCGUGCUCGUCAGAGGACCACAAAACCAUUGUCUUUGCAGUCAGUGUGGGUUCAAUUUUGAAAUCAAACA
rnacentral:misc_RNA from 1 species